UACAGAGGGGGCAAGCGUUGUUCGGAAUUACUGGGCGUAAAGGGCGCGUAGGCGGCCUGCUAAGUCGAACGUGAAAUCCCUGGGCUCAACCCAGGAACUGCGUCCGAUACUGGUUGGCUUGAAUCCGGGAGAGGGAUGUGGAAUUCCAGGUGUAGCGGUGAAAUGCGUAGAUAUCAAGAGGAACACCUGAGGUGAAGACGGGUUGCUAGGCUGACACUGACGCUGAGGCGCGAAAGCCAGGGGAGCAAACGGG
rnacentral:rRNA from 1 species